rnacentral:rRNA from 1 species
GCGGUAACAGAUCCAGCUUGCUGGAUGCUGACGAGCGGCGGACGGGUGAGUAAUGCAUAGGAAUCUGCCCGAUAGUGGGGGAUAACCUGGGGAAACCCAGGCUAAUACCGCAUACGUCCUACGGGAGAAAGGGGGCUCCGGCUCCCGCUAUGGGAUGAGCCUAUGUCGGAUUAGCUAGUUGGUGAGGUAACGGCUCACCAAGGCCACGAUCCGUAGCUGGUCUGAGAGGAUGAUCAGCCACAUCGGGACUGAGACACGGCCCGAACUCCUACGGGAGGCAGCAGUGGGGAAUAUUGGACAAUGGGGGAAACCCUGAUCCAGCCAUGCCGCGUGUGUGAAGAAGGCCCUCGGGUUGUAAAGCACUUUCAGCGAGGAAGAACGCCUAGCGGUUAAUACCCGCUAGGAAAGACAUCACUCGCAGAAGAAGCACCGGCUAACUCCGUGCCAGCAGCCGCGGUAAUACGGAGGGUGCAAGCGUUAAUCGGAAUUACUGGGCGUAAAGCGCGCGUAGGUGGCUUGAUAAGCCGGUUGUGAAAGCCCCGGGCUCAACCUGGGAACGGCAUCCGGAACUGUCAAGCUAGAGUGCAGGAGAGGAAGGUAGAAUUCCCGGUGUAGCGGUGAAAUGCGUAGAGAUCGGGAGGAAUACCAGUGGCGAAAGCGGCCUUCUGGACUGACACUGACACUGAGGUGCGAAAGCGUGGGUAGCAAACAGGAUUAGAUACCCUGGUAGUCCACGCCGUA